rnacentral:lncRNA from 1 species
GAUGCUGUAAUUUGAGGAUCAAUUGUCUAUUGCUCUUUUGAAGUUGCAUCACAGCUACACCGACUUGCACCUGGCAAUGUUGCCAUCACUUUCAUUCACGUGAUCCACAAGCUUUUUAUCAUUAGCAUCAUGAAGAUUGUUCCAAGUCGGGAGAAGAAACAAACUUGCAUGCCUGCGUCUUUCAGGGGUCCAGCAGAAACUGCAGGAUGGUCAUUGACAACCACAAAAGGUUCACAGAGAGUGAGAUACAUCUCACAAAAGACAUAGCGAGAAACAGAAUCCAUGUUGAAAGGAUAAAUUCUCAACCAAAAGAUUUCAAAAUCCUGAGAUUCACCCCACCUCAUCUGCGUUGUUAUAGUAAUGUGCUGGAGGAGACUUGCUGUGCACUUGUAAACAUCCAAGACCCAUUCAUCAGAGAAGUAGCUGUUGAUUGGGAAACAAGGCCAGACAAUAAGGCAUGUCGAUUGGGUGUUGAGGGACUACUUGUCCCAUUGUCCAAGGCCAACAGGAGUGCAUCCUUCAGACCAUCCGGUGAAUGGACAUCCUGUACCAGUGUGGAGACUACAGUUGGGUCUCCAGUUGUGGAGACAACAGCACAUCGAGCCUGUGGACGGACAGGUCAGUAACUCAUCAAAUAUGAUGCAAUAUUGUGAAAAACAAUGAAUUUGUAGAUGCAUCACCAUCUUUACUUUAUGAAUCCUUUCCCCCGUGUUUUAGAUGAGGCGUGACAUGCGGAUCAUCAGACUCACCCCACGAUAAGCAGUGCAUGAUCAACGUCACCCUCAGCAAGGAAAUAUGCUGAAAGUGAUUUCUCUCCCAUCCUUAGAUGUUCUCUCUCUCUCUCUCUCUCUCUCUCUCUCUCUCUCUCUCUCUCUCUCUCUCUCUCUCUCUCUCUCUCGUUAAGCAGUCCAGAUGAUUUUUGUAGGGUGUGUCCAAUCCAACUCUACUUCCUCCUUAUUUUUAUUUAACUUGGCAAGUCAGUUAAGAACAAAUUCUUAUUCACAAUGACGGCCUACCAAAAGGCGGGGGGACGGGGGCUGGGAUUAAGUAUAAAACAUUAAAUAAAAAUGUAGCACCAAACAUAUCACGACAAGAGAGACAACACUACAUAAAGAGAGAUCUAAGACAACAACAUAGCAUGGCACCAACACAUGACAACACAGCAUGGUAGCAACACAACAUGACAACAACAUGGUAGCAACACAACUUGGCAGCAGGACAACAUGGUAGCAGCACAAAACAUGGUACAAACAUUACUGGGCACAGACAACAGCACAAAAGGCAAGAAGGUAGAGACAAUACAUACACAUACAUACAACAAUACAUCACGUGAAGCAGCCACAGCUGUCAGUAAGAGUGUCCAUAUUGGAGUCUUUGAAUGAAGCGAUGGAGAUAAAACUGUCCAGUUUGAGUGUUUGCUGCAGCGAACUGAGAAGAGGAGCGACUCAGGGAUGUGUGCUUUGGGGACCUUUAACAGAAUGUGACUGGCAGAACGGGUAUUGUAUGAGUAGGAUGAGGGCUGUAGUAGGUAAGAUGCUGGAAUGCCAGUAGGUAAAAUGCCAAAUGCAGGGAUAGCACAUAGCCCUUUGCUUUGAUGUUGCUUGCUUUGAUGUUGGCAGUUAAUUUGAAAUAUUGUCAGUUAAUCAUUCCACUUAAACUGUCUGGCUAGUUAGCUGACAAACAAACAUGCUGUGCAGAUAUAUCUACAAAUUGACCUGGCUAAUUGAUAGUUUGAGGAGGAGUGACAUGAUGCUGUGCUGUUACAUUUGUAAAUUACCUGAUAUAACAGCAAAAUGAGCUUAACUGAAACAUCUGCUAACUACAUUAAUCGUUGCAUUAUUUCAAAUACAGAUGCCAUUUUCCAUUGGGAAAGAAAAAUGGCACUGCAUUUACCAGAAAAAGAAGCUCCGCACAAUGAAUGGGGAAAUAAAUGAUUUAAACAUCACAGAUAUACAUUCCCGCUGUUCCCAUGAUAAAAUACAAUUUGAAUUGUGUCGGGCUACUGAAUGAAACUGUGAGGAGAUGCACUCAGACCGGCCUUUGUGAUUGAACCUCCGUUAACUACACUACUUUAGUUGGCUGAUUUGAGCAAAACUUGUAUGUAAUAAAAACCUAUUCUGAGAGCCUAGUGUGUGUGUAUGAACUAUGUGGACAGGAGACGCAACGAGAACGCUCAUCCCCCUAAAAAGAACACUAAUUGGAUAUAAAACAAAAACUAAUUUGUGUGCAAAAACUAUUUACAAUAUAUUUGCAUAUGUUCACUGUUGCAGUGCCAAUUUUGGGAGCAUGUGGUGCUUGAAAAACCCCUCUAGUCCAGCAAUAGGAUUCUGCCAGAUGUCGUCACACUGGUGAUGGAGACUUUGGUAGUCCACACAACGAAGAAGCAAGUCUCCCUUCCAGUGAUGUGGAGCUGCCCUUGGACCUGGUGCCAGUGGGGAUGGUCGUCACGGAGGCGGUAAGACCCUGUCUCUUCCUGGAUAUAGAAUAUCCAGGAAGAUAUCCUUCAACUUGACUGCCUCUUCAAUGGUAAGGUCCCUUGCACCAUAGGGACACUUGACCUCCAACACUGCUGUGGUGCCCCACUAUCCGGUGGGGCAGCCAGGAUCCCAGACCCCGUGACCGAAAGCCCUGACUGCUGCACAUCAAUCCCUGUAGCCAUUUUGAAUGGCUUGAUGUGCUCUUCUUGGUUAUCGGGCCGACCCUUUUCUCUGUGUAUAUCAACGAUGUCGCUCUUGCUGCGGGUGAUUCCCUGAUCAACCUCUACACAGACGAUACCAUUCUGUAUACAUCUGGCCCUUCUUUGGACACUGUGUUAACAAACCUCCAAACAAGCUUCAGUGCCAUACAACACUCCUUCCGUGGCCUCCAACUGCUCUUAAACGCUAGUAAAACUAAAUGCAUGCUUUUCAACCGUUUGCUGCCCGCACCCGCCCACCCAACUAGCAUCACUACUCUGGAC